CUUGUGGCAAAUGCUACAGUAAUGACCAGACACAUCACACCCGCCUUCUAGAAGCCCUCCCUCACAAACCGGAUCAACUGCUAUGAUAAAGUUUGGUUUCCUUCUUUUCAUGAUUCACCAUUAGAAGAACCCACCCAGGUAAUCACUGCUUGCUCGGAUCCCAGCAAAUUCUAGAUCCCAGAACUAGUGCUCUUAGAGCCAAGGCCAGCCGAUCCAAGUCUGGACUACUGCUCAGAUGAGCCGAGCCUGAAUUUGGGAGUGGUUGUUACAGAGCAUUACCCUGGCAAUAACUGACUGAUGCAGAGAUGUAAAUAGACAUCACUGGUGGAGCCCCCAGGAAAGCUCUUUAACAGAAGACAGACUCAGCUGGCAGGUUUCCCGUCUCCUUGAAUGAAGACAGGCUCAAUGCUUGGAGGGGUGAGAGGAGGCAGCCAUCUUACAACCACAGGUCACAGGAAGACACUAAACAAGGCCGUGUGGAAAGACAGAAGGAGCCUCCAUCCCUCAGCACCACAGAGACAUUGUAUCAGCCUAGAAAUGCCUAAAUCUGAACUUCCUCUUACCUAAGAAAAAUAAAACCUCAAUUUGAUUCAAUCACUGUUUUACAGGUUUCUGCUACUUCUGAUAUAAUUCCUGAUAGAUAGCCGUGUCCACUACCAUUCCUUGAGGGCUUACAAUGGCUUCUGGUUGGGAGAAAGAUGGGAAGAGGAGGACAUUCAAGAAGAUCAGAGACGUCUGGGGUGUGCAGAAGUAUUUUUCCUUCUUAUUUUCCUGUAUUCAAUAGGUAACACCAUGGUGUGUGGCUUUUCUGGGCAGCCUGCAAAUGUCAUUGCUAGUGACAACAUUUUUCUGCAGGAAAACAUAUUCCAGCUUUUAAUCAUCUUUAGAAUAAACCCAUUUAUAAGCAGU
rnacentral:lncRNA from 10 species